GACGAACGCUGGCGGCGUGCCUAAUACAUGCAAGUCGAACGCUUCUUUCCUCCCGAGUUCUUUCACUCUAUUGGAAAGGGGAGUGGCGGACUGAUGAGUAACUCGUCUGUAACCUACUCCUCAGUGACGGCUUACACUUGUAAACAGGUGCUAAUACCCCAUAACAGUUUCUGCCUCAUUGCAUGAGAGUGAAAGGCUCUUUCGGGUGUCGCUUCUGGCUGUACCCGCGGUGCAUUAGCUAGUUGGUGUGGUAACGGCUCACCAAGUCGGCGAUGCAUAGCCGACGUGAGGGGGGGAUCGGCCGCAAUGGGAGUGAGACAAGACCCAGAAGCCUACGGGAGGCAGCAGUAGGGAAUAUUCGGCAAUGGACGAAAGACUGACGGAGCAACGCCGCGUGAGUGAAGAAGGUGUUCGGAUCGUAAAAAUCUGUUGUUAGAGAAGAACAAGGACGGUAGUAACUGAACGUGGCCUGACGGUAGCUAAACAGAAAGCCACGGCUAACUACGUG
rnacentral:rRNA from 1 species